GACGAACCGCCCGAACGUUAUUCGGAAUCACUGGGCUUAAAGGGAGCGUAGGCGGGCUGCCAAGUCCGGGGUGAAAUCCUCCAGCUUAACUGGAGAACUGCCUCGGAUACUGAAAGUCUCGAGGAGGGUAGGGGCAAGUGGAACCGUGGGUGGAGCGGUGAAAUGCGUUGAUAUCCAUGGGAACUCCGGUGGCGAAGGCGACUUGCUGGACCCUUUCUGACGCUGAGGCUCGAAAGCCAGGGGAGCAAACGGG
rnacentral:rRNA from 1 species